GUUCAGGAUUUGAAAUUUUCUUAAGUUCUCUGUUUGGUGACAUGUAUAAACAGAGGUAGACUAUAAGGUUCCACCAUUCUUGAUUGAAAAUAGGGAACGUAACAUCAUCUAAUUUCAACCAAAUUUAUAUAUUUUUUUUUGAAGUCUAUCUAGAUAUUAUAUUUAUCGAAUUGAAUAUGUGAUUGGAUGUAAUCAUUGGAUAUUCUAAACCUUUCUAAUCAAUGGUAAUCACUCCUACUAUAAGAACUGAUUCCAAACCCCUGAUGAAGUCCUAACGGACGAAACGCGUUGGGUUUUGCAACGUCUGGUUAACAAAGUCCUUAUCACAAACAUCUGGUUGGAGAUACAUCCAUUUCGAGUUCUGACUGUGAUCACCUGGCUGUAAAAUCCUCACAUCCAACUGUAAUUUAUGUAUAAGAUUGUAAUAUUGUUUUAUAUGAAUUUUUAGAAGG